rnacentral:rRNA from 1 species
UCGAACGGAAAGGCCCUGCUUGCAGGGUACUCGAGUGGCGAACGGGUGAGUAACACGUGGGUGAUCUGCCCUGCACUUCGGGAUAAGCUUGGGAAACUGGGUCUAAUACCGGAUAGGAGCCAUCUUUAGUGUGGUGGUUGGAAAGUUUUUUCGGUGUAGGAUGAGCUCGCGGCCUAUCAGCUUGUUGGUGGGGUAAUGGCCUACCAAGGCGGCGACGGGUAGCCGGCCUGAGAGGGUGUACGGCCACAUUGGGACUGAGAUACGGCCCAGACUCCUACGGGAGGCAGCAGUGGGGAAUAUUGCACAAUGGGCGCAAGCCUGAUGCAGCGACGCCGCGUGGGGGAUGAAGGCCUUCGGGUUGUAAACUCCUUUCGCUAGGGACGAAGCUUUGUGUGACGGUACCUAGAUAAGAAGCACCGGCUAACUACGUGCCAGCAGCCGCGGUAAUACGUAGGGUGCGAGCGUUGUCCGGAAUUACUGGGCGUAAAGAGCUCGUAGGUGGUUUGUCGCGUCGUCUGUGAAAUUCUGGGGCUUAACUCCGGGCGUGCAGGCGAUACGGGCAUAACUUGAGUGCUGUAGGGGUAACUGGAAUUCCUGGUGUAGCGGUGAAAUGCGCAGAUAUCAGGAGGAACACCGAUGGCGAAGG